rnacentral:tRNA from 1 species
CGGAAGUAGCUCAGUGGUAGAGCAUCACCUUGCCAAGGUGGGGGUCGCGGGUCCGAGUCCCGUUUUCCG